UUAAGUUCAGCGGGUAUUCCUACCUGAUCCGAGGUCAACCAUUAAAAAAUGUAAAGGUUAUGGCUACAGCUAAGGCAACUAAAAAGCGAGAAUAAAUUACUACGCUUAGAGUAUACCGAAACUCCGCCACUGGUUUUGAGGAACUACCGGUUAGGUAGACUCCCAAUACUAAGCUGAGCUUAAAGGUUGUAAUGACGCUC
rnacentral:misc_RNA from 1 species